ACAAAUGAACUGAAAAGAACCUUACCUGCUUAAAGAAAUGGGAUGUGGCUCGCUUAAAGUUAUUCCAUUUGACGUCUCCAGGCAUAGAGCUUCUGGAGUGCUGAAGCCUUGUCUUCAGGGUUUACUCCUGGACUGCAUCCUCCAGCUUUCUUCCUCAACUUCUUCACUCUUCAGAGUCACAGACUAUUGGAAGAACUGGAAUAGGAACACCUUGGACUUCAUCAGACCAGUAUUCUCAGAAUGUGUUCCAUGGACCAUCUGCAUUAGCCUCAUCAAUGAACUGAGGCUGCUGAGAGUUAUUCAGCAGCUGGAGAAAGAGAAGAGUGAGAGCUGGAAGAAGGAAAAGAAGAAUGAGUCAAACCUCAGCAGAUUAUUCAUCCAAAUAAAUGCCAUGAAGAGCUUUUUUAGAGACCCUUACUACUUAGGCAAGGAAAUAAAUGUAGAGCACAUCAGAGAAGCCAUUGUAUCUACAGGAACCAACAAUUUUUUCUCUCCCAACGAUGUAAAAUAAGGACAAAGGACCUAUCAAUCAGCCCGGGAAUGACUAAUUAUUGGAGAACAGAAGAUUCUCUGUAGUUUAUUCUUUGUAUCAAUACAUGAAAAAAAAAAUCCCUAGAAUUUUGUGGUCAAAUGUGGCUUUAAGUGAACAGAUAAGAGCCCAACUAAAUGGAAGCACUCCUCCAUUCCUAAGGGAAGUUGGUGAACUGCCCACAUAAUUUGCUGAUAAAGGCCCAUCUGUUAAAACAAAGUAGAGUUGCAUUGGCAAUACAUUUCAGCCGGAGACUGUAAGUGGUUAUUUUUUCUUGACAGCCUUGUUGGCUUUUUUUUUUUUUGCAAGCCCAGAAAACUAUUUGAGGGUGAAAUAUAGAUUAUGAUAUUGGCUUUAAGUUAAUGUUACACUUUCAGCUUGGGGAGAGAAAAACCCAUCGGCACAAGUUCUCUUGUAAACCCUGUUGCAUGAUAAAUUGUUAUGAGAAUAAAGUCAUAAGGAAAACUCA
rnacentral:lncRNA from 1 species